GGUCGAUUGAUUUUAAUCCUGAAUAUCAUAAUUUAAACAAAACACUAUAAAUCAAUAUACGUGACUGUGUAUAUUAACAAUAAAAAUAAGUGAAAAACAAAACUGUUAGUAUUUCUUAUUGAUGCCGUUUGGGUGAUGUACAUUAAGUUCCUUUAUCCAAAAGCUUUCCCGAACCUGUCGCUGUGCAUCACUCCAGUGAAUGUUCUGUUCAAUCACUAGAAUUUUCAUGCGGUUAAAGUCAUCAAGUUUGUGACCCGACUGUCUGAAGUGCUGAGAGACUGGAAGAAGUGGCUUCUUAGAGAUAUCACUCCUAUGGCCAUUGAGGCGUUUGUGGAAAGGCUGCUUUGACUCACCAACAUAUUGGAGGCCACAAACCGAACAUUCUA
rnacentral:lncRNA from 1 species